CGGAGCUUUCCUCUAUCUUUACAGAAAGAAGACUGAGAAUUGUCUGCUUAUCUCACUGAAGAACUGUGGAAACCAGGUUGAAAGCAUCCAACCUGUAGGAGUCUGGCAGGGGACCACAGUCAAGAAGACCUCACCAGAUGAAGCUGAGGCUUCUAAUGCUGUUUCCCUUGAAACCCAAGAACAAGCUCCUGGAGGCUGUAGGCAAGUUUUUCCAGAAACCUUUUUUGCCUUCUUCAGCUUUUGCUGUUUCAUUCAAACCUUUCAUAUCACCUGCAGAUCCGCUUUUUGUAUUGCUCUGGUAUUAGCACAUUCCCAUUUGACUUUUGGGGUAGUAGGGAUCGGUUUCAUCAGCUGUGAUCAGAAGGCUGACCACGCACAAGUGGUCUUGUAGCAUUGCUGAUUGAAUAACUUGAGUUUUCCCCUGACAAACAGGAUCUCCUGUUGGGCCUUCCACACAUUUAUUUGAGGAUGGGGCUGUUGGAGGGCUGUAGCCAAAGCCCAGCAAUUCUCAAUAAGCUCGAGAAAGCCAUGAUAUUGCUUGUAGAAAUAAAUAUUUUCUGUAAAC